UAGGGAAUAUUGGACAAUGGGCGCAAGCCUGAUCCAGCCAUGCCGCGUGAGUGAAGAAGGCCCUCGGGUUGUAAAGCUCUUUUGUCCGGAAAGAAAAGCAUCGGGUUAAUACCCCGGUGUUCUGACGGUACAGGAAGAAUAAGCACCGGCUAACUUCGUGCCAGCAGCCGCGGUAAUACGAAGGGUGCAAGCGUUACUCGGAAUUACUGGGCGUAAAGCGUGCGUAGGUGGUUCGUUAAGUCUGAUGUGAAAGCCCUGGGCUCAACCUGGGAAUGGCAUAGGGAACUGGCGGACUGGAGUGCGGUAGAGGGUGGCUGAAUUCCCGGUGUAGCAGUGAAAUGCGUAGAGAUCGGGAGGAACAUCCGUGGCGAAGGCGGCUACCUGGACCAGCACUGACACUGGGGCACGAAAGCGUGGGGAGCAA
rnacentral:rRNA from 1 species